rnacentral:rRNA from 1 species
UACGGGGGGGGCAAGCGUUGUUCGGAAUUACUGGGCGUAAAGGGCUCGUAGGCGGCCAACUAAGUCAGACGUGAAAUCCCUCGGCUUAGCCGGGGAACUGCGUCUGAUACUGGUUGGCUUGAAUCCGGGAGAGGGAUGUGGAAUUCCAGGUGUAGCGGUGAAAUGCGUAGAUAUCUGGAGGAACACCGGUGGCGAAGGCGGCAUCCUGGACCGGUAUUGACGCUGAGGAGCGAAAGCCAGGGGAGCAAACGGG